rnacentral:rRNA from 1 species
GAUGAACGCUGGCGGCGUGCCUAAUACAUGCAAGUCGAGCGAACGGACGAGAAGCUUGCUUCUCUGAUGUUAGCGGCGGACGGGUGAGUAACACGUGGAUAACCUACCUAUAAGACUUGGAUAACUUCGGGAAACCGUAGCUACUACCGGGUAAUAUUUUGACCCGCGUGGUUCAAAAGUGAAAGACGGUCUUGCUGUCACUUAUAGAUAGAUCCGCGCGGCAUUAGCUAGUUGUUAAGGUAACGGCUUACCAAGGCAACGAUGCAUAGCCGACCUGAGAGGGGGAUCGCCGACCUGGGAAGGGAGCCGCGCUCACGAGGCCUGCGGGAGGGAGCAGUAGGGAACCUGACGCAAUGGGCGAAAGCCUUACGGAGCAGCGCCGAGUGAGUUACGACGAUGUCGGGUUCGUAAAACUCUGUUUUUAGGGAAGAACAUAUGUGUACGGAAAUGUACAGAUCUUGACGGUACCUAAUCAGAAAGCGCCGGCUAACUACGUG